rnacentral:rRNA from 1 species
UACGGGGGGGAGCAAGCGUUGUUCGGAUUUACUGGGCGUAAAGGGCGCGUAGGCGGCCAGCACAAGUCGGUUGUGAAAUCUCCGGGCUUAACUCGGAAAGGUCAACCGAUACUGUGCGGCUAGAGUGCGGAAGGGGCAACUGGAAUUCUCGGUGUAGCGGUGAAAUGCGUAGAUAUCAAGAGGAACACCUGAGGUGAAGACGGGUUGCUGGGCCGACACUGACGCUGACAGCGCGAAAGCCAGGGGAGCAAACGGG